AUCCAUGACUUGAUUCUUCAGUAAAUGAAUAAUAUUUCAUUGUCAGUUUCCCUUGUUCUUGGAUUCUAUUUCUCCGUGUCUUUUGCCUCGCAUUAGAACAGUGUGCAAAAUUUUUCAAAUUCUCAGUCUCAAAUCCUCAAUUGCCAAUUGCAAACAGGUAGAAACACAAGCAAUCANNAUCAAUUGAAAAACAAGAAAAGCAAUUAUAAAAAGAGAGAACAAAAUCAAAUGCUAACCCUUAGCCUCUAGAGCUUUAAUACCAGAAUCAAUUGUGG
rnacentral:misc_RNA from 1 species